GACGUAGGGGGCGAGCGUUGUCCGGAUUUAUUGGGCGUAAAGAGCUCGUAGGUGGCUUGUCGCGUCGGUUGUGAAAACCUGCAGCUUAACUGUGGGCUUGCAGCCGAUACGGGCGGGCUAGAGGCAGGUAGGGGAGAGUGGAAUUCCUGGUGUAGCGGUGAAAUGCGCAGAUAUCAGGAGGAACACCGGUGGCGAAGGCGGCUCUCUGGACCUGUUCUGACGCUGAGGAGCGAAAGCGUGGGGAG
rnacentral:rRNA from 1 species